GCGGCGCCGGUCCGGCCGCGGCGCCGCGCGGCACCGGGGUGGGCCGCCACCGAGGCUCAGGCGCCCGUCCUGGGUUUCCUCCCACGCGUGGUGAUGCUGAAAGGGUCCGCGAGGGAAGGUGAUGCACCGGCCGAGCUGUCACGGGGAAGGGAGGCUCGGGGUGACCCCGGCUUCCCAGAAUUGGGGCUCUGCUGUGUAAAGGGGAUGACUGCAGGACACAGCGUCUUGUAGGCUGGGGCCCCUAGGUCCGCAGAGUGCCCUCUCGGGACCUCUGGCCCGGUCCUGGGGGAAGCGAGCUGUGGCUAACUGGAGGGCCGUGGUGGGCGGUGGGGUCUUGCUGCGAAGCGGAGGGCCGUGACCCCAGGCGAGCCUGCUCCUUUCAGCACAAGGACCCUGAAACCUUGCUGGUCAGGUGUCACUUAGGUAUUUAGAGAACGACUAUAGGGAUGAGUGGCGGUAGGGGCGUGCUGUGUUGAUAAG
rnacentral:lncRNA from 1 species